rnacentral:rRNA from 1 species
UGGGGAAUAUUGCACAAUGGGGGAAACCCUGAUGCAGCGACGCCGCGUGAGCGAAGAAGGUCUUCGGAUCGUAAAGCUCUGUCUUAGGGGACGAAAAAAAUGACGGUACCCUAGGAGGAAGCCACGGCUAACUACGUGCCAGCAGCCGCGGUAAUACGUAGGUGGCGAGCGUUGUCCGGAUUUACUGGGUGUAAAGGGCGCGUAGGCGGAUUUUUAGGUCAGGUGUGAAAUCUCGGGGCUUAACCCCGAAACUGCACUUGAAACCGGGAACCUUGAGUGCCGGAGAGGGAAGCGGAAUUCCUAGUGUAGCGGUGAAAUGCGUAGAUAUUAGGAGGAACACCAGUGGCGAAGGCGGCUUUCUGGACGGUAACUGACGCUGAGGCGCGAAAGCGUGGGGAGCAAACAGG